GAUGAACGCCAGCGGCAGGCCUAACACAUGCAAGUCGAGGGGCAGCACAGAAACAGCAAUGUUUUGGUGGCGACCGGCGGACGGGUGCGUAACGCGUAUGCAACCUACCUUUAACAGGGGGAUAACGGAGAGAAAUUUCCACUAAUACCCCAUAACAUCUAUCAAGGCAUCUUGAUUGGUUGAAAACUCCGGUGGUUAAAGAUGGGCAUGCGUUGUAUUAGGUAGUUGGUGAGGUAAUGGCUCACCAAGCCUACGAUACAUAGGGGGACUGAGAGGUUAGCACCCCACACUGGUACUGAGCCACGGACCAGACUCCUACGGGAGGCAGCAGUGAGGAAUAUUGGUCAAUGGGGGCAACCCUGAACCAGCCAUGCCGCGUGCAGGAAGACGGCUCUAUGAGUUGUAAACUGCUUUUAAACAGGGAUAAAGCACAGUAUGUAUACUGUGUUGAAGGUACUGUAAGAAUAAGGAUCGGCUAACUCCGUGCCAGCCGCCGCCGUAA
rnacentral:rRNA from 1 species